AGAUGGCCCAGGAAGGACAGUACGUCUGCAUGGCAUGCUGCCACUCUGCAUACUCACUUGGGUCCCAGAGGCUGCAUAAAUGAGUUAGCUCCACUCAGUUGGCACAGCUCUGUGCUGACCUGGCUGUCCUGAUCCCAAGACUGGAAUUUCCACAUUUGGAGGCUAUGAGCUUCUCAUAAUCUCAUCACUCUAAACUAACUGGAUUUUUUUUUUUCAACAUCAGUGAUAUUGUAAAGAGUUGGAAUGCUCUGUAAAGCAUCUUACCAGACUGUUCUGACAUCUCACUGCAGCUGGUUUUAAAUGAUUUUUCCAAUUAUUUUUAUAGCUUAUUGGAUGGUAAAGGACUGUAUGAGAACUGUGAAAGAAUGUAUAAAAUAAAGCUAAUUUUAUCAGUGGUUGUGAAAUUACAAAUCUUGGUGGGCUUGAACAGUUUUGUACAGAAAGUAGCCUUUUGCAUUGUCAGGUGGAUAAUCAUGUAGGGUAGGAAGAUCUCAGGCCUUGCGUUCUCAUUAUUGAUGAUCAGUAUGUGUGAAGAUGCCACCUGAAAAUCACUGAGAACUUUCUCUGUACUCUCCAUUUCUGCUAUUCCUUUAAGGGCCAUCUGCAAAAAGAAGAACUCGACCACGUUAGCAAAAAAUUUUGAAAAUGAUAUGAGAAAAUCUCAGACUCUAUUUCUCUGGUCAUAAUCUGUGAUCCUCAGCACAAAAAACAAGAAGCCUAAACAAAAAGCGUAAGAACACAAGGUGGAGGCAUGACAAUAAGAAUAUUACGUAAGAUUUGAAUGGGACAAAAAAGAAAUAUUUUGGAGCACAACCUUACAAAGAAAAUUCCUUCACAUCCUCCCCAGAAAACUCAACACAAUUAAUGGUGCACAGCACAACCGCCUUUUACUGCAGGAUAGGAAUAAGUAAUUCAAAUGAAUGAGAGAAAUUUGUAUCCUAGAAGGGAAGGAUAUUUAUAUCCUCCCUGCAAUCUCAUGCUGUAAACAUGAAGAACUGCUACUAGAUAGACUAACAAGGAAGGGGAAGGAGGUUGUUAAGAAAUGGAAGCCUAAUGAGAACAUGCACAAACCAAGAAACAGAAAUGGUAAAAAUGAAGAGCAAAGCCAUAAACACUCCAUCUCUGCUUCUCUCUAUGACUAGCAGCAUGUAUGUGAUUAAGCUGGUAGUUUCAUGAAAAUUUCAAGAUGCAUUUCAAGAUGCAAGAAGUGUUGCUGCUGCUCGUGACUGUGCCUUCCAGAUACGCAGACUUGCUAACAACAAUACAAGCCUGUUUCCGUGUAACUGUGCUAGGGCAAUGCUGAGUCAAAAAAUGAGUCCUGCAGAAGAGCAGGUAUAAUGUUCAGUGAGCUCAGAACAUGUGCAGGAUGAGUUCCCACCUAUUGAAGUGUGGGCAGAGGGUCUGUCUGUACUUCAGAGCUCUGGAUGAAUGUGGCCUGAGGCAAAAAGAAGGAAUGUUUACAGAAAGAAAAAAAAGAAAAAGGAAAAAAGAGAAAAAAUGAAAAAGAAAAAAUAUAUAUAUGUGUAUCCAAGGAAUGUGUAUCCCCUUCCCUCAGUCUUAAUAGUUGAUUUUUUUUUUUUUACAUUACCUUGAAUAUAACAC
ensembl:lncRNA